CUAGGCAAAAUGGUGCCGUAACUUCGGGAGAAGGCACGCUGAUAUGUAGGUGAAGCGACUUGCUCGUGGAGCUGAAAUCAGUCGAAGAUACCAGCUGGCUGCAACUGUUUAUUAAAAACACAGCACUGUGCAAACACGAAAGUGGACGUAUACGGUGUGACGCCUGCCCGGUGCCGGAAGGUUAAUUGAUGGGGUUAGCGGUAACGCGAAGCUCUUGAUCGAAGCCCCGGUAAACGGCGGCCGUAACUAUAACGGUCCUAAGGUAGCGAAAUUCCUUGUCGGGUAAGUUCCGACCUGCACGAAUGGCGUAAUGAUGGCCAGGCUGUCUCCACCCGAGACUCAGUGAAAUUGAACUCGCUGUGAAGAUGCAGUGUACCCGCGGCAAGACGGAAAGACCCCGUGAACCUUUACUAUAGCUUGACACUGAACAUUGAGCCUUGAUGUGUAGGAUAGGUGGGAGGCUUUGAAGUGUGGACGCCAGUCUGCAUGGAGCCGACCUUGAAAUACCACCCUUUAAUGUUUGAUGUUCUAACGUUGGCCCGUAAUCCGGGUUGCGGACAGUGUCUGGUGGGUAGUUUGACUGGGGCGGUCUCCUCCUAAAGAGUAACGGAGGAGCACGAAGGUUGGCUAAUCCUGGUCGGACAUCAGGAGGUUAGUGCAAUGGCAUAAGCCAGCUUGACUGCGAGCGUGACGGCGCGAGCAGGUGCGAAAGCAGGUCAUAGUGAUCCGGUGGUUCUGAAUGGAAGGGCCAUCGCUCAACGGAUAAAAGGUACUCCGGGGAUAACAGGCUGAUACCGCCCAAGAGUUCAUAUCGACGGCGGUGUUUGGCACCUCGAUGUCGGCUCAUCACAUCCUGGGGCUGAAGUAGGUCCCAAGGGUAUGGCUGUUCGCCAUUUAAAGUGGUACGCGAGCUGGGUUUAGAACGUCGUGAGACAGUUCGGUCCCUAUCUGCCGUGGGCGCUGGAGAACUGAGGGGGGCUGCUCCUAGUACGAGAGGACCGGAGUGGACGCAUCACUGGUGUUCGGGUUGUCAUGCCAAUGGCACUGCCCGGUAGCUAAAUGCGGAAGAGAUAAGUGCUGAAAGCAUCUAAGCACGAAACUUGCCCCGAGAUGAGUUCUCCCUGAGACUUAGAGUCUCCUGAAGGAACGUUGAAGACGACGACGUUGAUAGGCCGGGUGUGUAAGCGCAGCGAUGCGUUGAGCUAACCGGUACUAAUGAACCGUGAGGCUUAACCUUACAACGCCGAAG
rnacentral:rRNA from 1 species